GUGGGGAAUAUUGGACAAUGGGGGGAACCCUGAUCCAGCCAUGCCGCGUGUGUGAAGAAGGCCUUUUGGUUGUAAAGCACUUUAAGCGAGGAGGAGGCUACCGAGAUUAAUACUCUUGGAUAGUGGACGUUACUCGCAGAAUAAGCACCGGCUAACUCUGUGCCAGCAGCCGCGGUAAUACAGAGGGUGCAAGCGUUAAUCGGAUUUACUGGGCGUAAAGCGCGCGUAGGUGGCCAAUUAAGUCAAAUGUGAAAUCCCAGAGCUUAACUUGUGAAUUGCAUUCGAUACUGGUUGGCUAGAGUAUGGGAGAGGAUGGUAGAAUUCCAGGUGUAGCGGUGAAAUGCGUAGAGAUCUGGAGGAAUACCGAUGGCGAAGGCAGCCAUCUGGCCUAAUACUGACACUGAGGUGCGAAAGCAUGGGGAGCAAACAGGAUUAGAAACCCUGGUAGUCC
rnacentral:rRNA from 1 species